UUUUAGAUUGUGAUUUUCCUAUUACCAUUGGUUAAGAAUUUUUUUACCGGUUCAGAGCCUAGUUAACCCAUAUUGAUUAAGUUGCAACUUGCUAAGGCUUUAACUUUCUUGAUUGAUUCAAUAGGAUAUGCACCAAAAGAAGUUGUUCUUGUUUUGUUUUUGUUAUCAAUCAUCAGGAGAAGGAGAUAAUGUUUCUUUCAAAACAACAACAAUUCUUGUGUCAUCAAAGAGGUUUUAAGUAUUUCUAUUAGUUAGUGGUGCAUGCUCUGUGACUUAAUUCAGAAAGGGAAAGAUGGCAGAAAGGGAGGAAUCCACUGGUUAGAAAAAUCUUUUGUUUAUUGCACAAUAAAGGUAGGAUUAUAAUUGGUCCUCCACGAUUAAUAAAAUAAUCAUUCCUUAUGAUUUAUAGAACCACUAGCUAGAUAGUGCUUCUUAAUAAGCAUAAAAUAGGUUCAUAGGCAAAUGUAAACUUUCACUCAUCCAUUUUCUAAAGAGAACCACUUUUUAUUUCUUAAAAUAACAA